rnacentral:rRNA from 1 species
CAGUCGCCGCGGUAAUACGGAGGGGGCUAGCGUUGUUCGGAAUUACUGGGCGUAAAGCGCACGUAGGCUGCUUUGUAAGUCAGAGGUGAAAGCCCGGGGCUCAACCCCGGAUGUGCCUUUGAGACUGCAGGGCUAGAACGUCGGAGAGGUGAGUGGAAUUCCGAGUGUAGGGGUGAGAUUCGUAGAUAUUCGGGAGAACACCAGUGGCGAAGGCGGCUCACUGGACGACUGUUGACGCUGAGGUGCGAAAGCGUGGGGAGCAAACAGGAUUAGAUACCCCGGUAGUCCCUGUCUCUUAUAC